rnacentral:rRNA from 1 species
GACAGGUGGUGCAUGGUUGUCGUCAGCUCGUGUCGUGAGAUGUUGGGUUAAGUCCCGCAACGAGCGCAACCCUUAAGCUUAGUUGCCAUCAUUAAGUUGGGCACUCUAAGUUGACUGCCGGUGACAAACCGGAGGAAGGUGGGGAUGACGUCAAAUCAUCAUGCCCCUUAUGAUUUGGGCUACACACGUGCUACAAUGGACAAUACAAAGGGCAGCGAAACCGCGAGGUCAAGCAAAUCCCAUAAAGUUGUUCUCAGUUCGGAUUGUAGUCUGCAACUCGACUACAUGAAGCUGGAAUCGCUAGUAAUCGUAGAUCAGCAUGCUACGGUGAAUACGUUCCCGGGUCUUGUACACACCGCCCGUCACACCACGAGAGUUUGUAACACCCGAAGCCGGU